rnacentral:rRNA from 1 species
ACUCCUAGAACGGGGAGGUAGUGACGAAAAAUAACAAUACCGGACUCAAUGAGGCUCGGUAAUUGAAAUGAGUACAGUUUAAAACCCUUAACGAGGAUCUAUUGGAGGGCAAGUCUGGUGCCAGCAGCCGCGGUAAUUCCAGCUCCAAUAGCGUAUAUUAAAGUUGUUGCAGUUAAAAAGCUCGUAGUUGGAUCUCGGGUACUAGCAUGUGGUACGCUUUUUUGCUGUUACUACAUGUCUGGUCCUAAUCAACCGGUUGGCCGUUGAUGUCCUUUAUUGGGUGUUUUCGGUAGCCGGUACGUUUACUUUGAGAAAAUUAGAGUGCUUAAAGCAGGCCUUAAGCCUGAAUAGUGUUGCAUGGAAUAAUAGAAUAGGACCUCGGUUCUAUUUUGUUGGUUUUGUAGAGCAUUGAGGUAAUGAUUAAUAGGGACAGACGGGGGCAUUCGUAUUGCGGUGUUAGAGGUGAAAUUCUUGGAUCGCCGCAAGACGAACAACUGCGAAAGCAUUUGCCAAGAAUGUUUUCAUUAAUCAAGAACGAAAGUUGGAGGUUCGAAGACGAUUAGAUACCGUCCUAGUUCCAACCAUAAACGAUGCCAACUAGCGAUUAGCUGCUGUUAUUUUUACGACACAGCUAGCAGCUUCCGGGAAACCAAAGUUUUUGGGUUCCGGGGGAAGUAUGGUUGCAAAGCUGAAACUUAAAGGAAUUGACGGAAGGGCACCACCAGGAGUGGAGCCUGCGGCUUAAUUUGACCCAACACGGGAAAUCUCACCCGGCCCGGACACUGUAAGGAUUGACAGUUUGAGAGCUCUUUCUUGAUUCGGUGGGUGGUGGUGCAUGGCCGUUCUUAGUUGGUGGAGCGAUUUGUCUGGUUAAUUCCGAUAACGAACGAGACUCUAGCCUGCUAAAUAGUACGUCGAUCUUUAGUCGGCGCGUACUUCUUAGAGGGACAAGUAGCGGUAAGCUACACGAAAUUGAGCAAUAACAGGUCUGUGAUGCCCUUAGAUGUUCGGGGCCGCACGCGCGCUACACUGAAGGGAUAAGCGUGUUUUUCCUGCUCCGAAAGGAGUGGGUAAUCCGCUGAAACCCCUUCGUGAUUGGGAUAGGGGCUUGAAACUAUUCUCCGUGAACGAGGAAUUCCCAGUAAGCGCGAGUCAUAAGCUCGCGUUGAUUACGUCCCUGCCCUUUGUACACACCGCCCGUCGCUACUACCGAUUGAAUGGUUUAGUGAGAUCUUCGGAUUGGUCCGGAGGUGUCCGCAAGGUCGCCUCUAGGUGCCGAGAAGAUGAUCAAACUUGA